rnacentral:rRNA from 1 species
AACGAACGCUGGCGGCAUGCCUAACACAUGCAAGUCGAACGAAGUCUUCGGACUUAGUGGCGCACGGGUGCGUAACGCGUGGGAAUCUGCCCUUGGGUGCGGAAUAACUUCUCGAAAGGGAUGCUAAUACCGCAUAAUGUCGUAAGACCAAAGAUUUAUCGCCCAAGGAUGAGCCCGCGUAAGAUUAGCUAGUUGGUGGGGUAAAAGCCUACCAAGCCGACGAUCGGUAGCUGGUCUGAGAGGAUGAUCAGCCACACUGGGACUGAGAUACGGCCCAGACUCCUACGGGAGGCAGCAGUGGGGAAUAUUGGACAAUGGGGGCAACCCUGAUCCAGCAAUGCCGCGUGAGUGAUGAAGGCCUUAGGGUUGUAAAGCUCUUUUGCCAGGGAAGAUGAUGACUGUACCUGGAGAAUAAGCCCCGGCUAACUUCGUGCCAGCAGCCGCGGUAAU